rnacentral:rRNA from 1 species
AACGAACGCUGGCGGCGUGCCUAACACAUGCAAGUCGUGCGAGAAAGUUCCUUCGGGAGCGAGUAAAGCGGCGCACGGGUGAGUAACACGUAGGUAACCUGCCCCCCAGUCUGGAACAACUAGAGGAAACUCUAGCUAAUGCCGGAUGAGACCACGAUCCCUUCGGGGGUUGCGGCCAAAGAUGGCCUCUACUUGUAAGCUAUCGCUGAGGGAUGGGCCUGCGGGCCAUUAGCUUGUUGGUGAGGUAACGGCUCACCAAGGCUGUGAUGGCUAGCUGGUCUGAGAGGAUGACCAGCCACACUGGGACUGAGACACGGCCCAGACUCCUACGGGAGGCAGCAGUGGGGAAUAUUGCGCAAUGGGCGAAAGCCUGACGCAGCGACGCCGCGUGGGUGAUGAAGGCCUC